rnacentral:rRNA from 1 species
UACGAAGGGGGCUAGCGUUGCUCGGAAUCACUGGGCGUAAAGGGUGCGUAGGCGGGUCUUUUAAGUCAGGGGUGAAAUCCCGGGGCUCAACCCCGGAACUGCCUUUGAUACUGGGUAUCUUUGAGUCCGGAAGAGGUGAGUGGAAUUCCGAGUGUAGAGGUGAAAUUCGUAGAUAUUCGCAAGAACACCAGUGGCGAAGGCGGCUCACUGGCCCGGUACUGACGCUGAGGUGCGAAAGCGUGGGGAG